rnacentral:misc_RNA from 1 species
UCCUAUGUAUAAGUCUCAUUCAGAAAAAGAAAGCACACUCCCCUUCAACACCUAUCCACAGACAUAGCAACAAAGAUCCCAAAAAUACUAUCAUACCCGUCAUGGUUUAGGCGGACAAUAUUGCUAUCAUCAUACCACGUGUUAAACUACAUGCAUAUUUUUAAUUCCUAACUGAACUCUUUUUUCUUUUAAUGUUUUAAUAUUUUAGUGUUUUCCCCAAAAAAACAUUUGAUGGUAAAUGAGACAUAUCAAAUUUUUGUUCCCACCUUCAAGGCACAUCCAUCAUUAAAACAAAAUUCUCUGAUUUUUCUUCCAACAAAUCAAUAGCCAAAAGAAAUGGGAGGAGAGUAACUAG